GAGAAGCACCUAACACUUAUGUAGUCAGAGAGUCACUCCUCACCAUUAUCAUACGAGCGAAGACAACAGUCGUCUAACCCUCUGUUCGCGGCGGUGGCGACGACGCACUCUUUUUUUUCUUCCUUGAUUAUGAGAACUUGAGAGGUAACCCUAUAAAGCUCUAAUCUUGAUACAAUCUCGUCCCUUCCAUUUAAUUCCCUUCACAAGUGUAGUACGCUUUGGCUUUGUUCAAUUCUAGGAGCUCUUACCAACUUCUCGACGACAGCAAUCUUUGGGAAAUUUUGGAUUAAUACCUCUGGAUCGACCCAGUCCCUCCAAAGCCUCCUGUUAGCAUCAGACAAAGGUUAGGAACUCUUUCGACUAAUUAGUUUUGAUUUCGGUCGAGUUUACUUGUGUAUUAAGCCUUCGUUGGAGCUAGGUUCACCUCCACCAAAUUUUGUGUUCAUGUUAAGAAUUUUGUGGGAUAAGAUGAUUGGAUAAUGUCUAUAGUGAUACCUACAUUUUUCAGUAUUUCCGUUUCAAUCACUAAACUUGUAGAAAUUAGAAUCGGUACUCAUCGCUUAAUAAAUUGCCUGACGUAAAUAAACUAUUGAUAUCUGCCUGUUUAGUAAUCAACUUUCUCCUUUUAGCUGCCACGACUUGAACUUUCUAGUUGUGACAUAAUACACCCAAAUAAUUUAUUAUGUAGUUUAAUCUAGUAUGAAAAUUCGGUUAAUUUUUUUUUGUAAAUUAUUAUAUUAUAGAAUUGAUUCCUAAUUGAUUUAAAGCUUGUCAUUGAUAAUAGAUUGCUAGUAUGAAACUCACUAUAUAAUAAAAACAAAGAAUUGUUUAUAAUAAUUUGAUAAUAGAAUAGAUUUAAAUUAUGAAUUAGUUAUUACUAGUUCAUACAAAGUAGACUCUUUAGUUCAUAAAUUAGACAUGAUCAAUAUCCGGUUCUUCUAGGAAAAUUAAUUAGAUCAUAAGAUCGAUUACUAACAUGAUUGAGAUUACAAAUAAUUAGUAGAGCAUAAUCAUGUGUAAAUGAAUUCGUUUGUCACACUUCACAAUCGACCAUGAAGUGGUUUUUCCCCAAGUCGACGAAUCGCCAUCCUAGACUUCUUCAACUAGGAUUGGAUUAAGUUUAAUCUUCAUAUUCUCGUCUUUAAGUUCUUAAAGACGAUCGGCUCUAUAGACCGGACUCUGAUUGCUACAUUGAGCCGCUCCCGCUUAUUUAUAAGGUGGGUGGUUUAAGGGGAUAAAUUCUUAUCGUUGCUAUAGUUAGGUUAUGCAUGUUUUAUGUUAUGUUUAAAUUAUGUAGUUCAAUUCAUUUAUGUUGAAGUCAUUUACUUUAUUCUUAUGAUGCUCUUAUGUGCAUAUAUGAUUAAGUAAGCUAGAAAAUGAUAUGAUUAAGUAGUUAGUGAACAGAAAGAACUACCAUAAGCCUAGACCUUUAGUAGACAACCUAGUAGUCAAGUGAUAUAGCAGAACAAAGCUAUUUACCUAGACUCCUGAUCCAGAAUGUCAGUGUAUGACCUUGGACCUCUAGAGAUCCACUGUUAUCAAUUGGACCACUAGAGAUCCAAUGUUUGCAUUUCAGAUCACCAGAGAUUCGUUAUUAGCUAUUGGGCCACUAGAGUCUCGUUUUUAGCUUUUGGGCCACUAGAGUCCGAUAUGAUAGUACUGGGCCACUAAAGUCCAACAUGAUAGUACUAGGCCACCAGAGACCCAUGGUGUUAUAUUAACUUUGACAAAUGGAUGGUAGGUCUAGUGAGAUGAGUUUAGGGGACGCCCUGUAGUUAUGAUAUCCUAGAUGUAUGAUGCUAGCUGAAGUUAGACAACCUUAGUAGUGGUUGAAGAGUAAUGGAAAUGAAUUUUAGCUCUAUAUGAUUCGAUGAAAUUGUGCCUUUAUGUCAGUAUAUUGAUUAUUAAGAUUAGAGCACAAAAGACUAACCCCAUCCCAGCUCAUCUUGAAGUCGAUGUUAAGAAUAUUAAACUCCUCACAAGCUUUCGAUACAACGUUGGAUCUCAAACAGGUUCGCCCACAUCCCAGCUCAUCUUCACAUCGAGUUCAACAGGAGGACUAAACGGCUUACAAUCAGUGUGUCAACCACAGAGGAGGAGAUCAACAAUGUAUUUGAGUUGAGUAACAAACACACCACUAUCAUUACGAGUAAUUUCCAAACCAAGAAAAUAACUGAGGUCACCGAGCUCCUUCAUUUUAAAGUGAUAUCGCUGGAGGUUCUCAAGUUUAGCUAUACCGUCACCAUUGCUUCCGGUGAUGAUCAUGUCAUCAACAUAUACAAGAAUGAAUGUAAUGCUGCGAGGUAACUACUUGAUAAACAGAGAGGGGUCAUUAAUACUUUGAAUGAACCCUCCUUCUAAAAUUGUAUCCUGAAACUUCUCGAACCAUGCGCGAGGGACUUGUUUGAGACCAUAUAGAGAAUGAUGAAGAAGGAAAACCUGACGAGGUGUAGAGUCGGCAUACCUCGGGGAACACGCCAUGUAUACUAUCUCCUUUAAAUUACCAUGGAGAAAGGCAUUCUUCACGUCGAGCUAUAGGUUGCCAGCAAGAUUCAGAUAGUUUGCAUUUUAGAAAAAGAAGCAAAGGUCUCAUUGUAAUCAACCCCCACUCCUGACGAUACCCUUGAGCAACAAGGCGGGCUUUAAAGCGAUUAACAUUCCCAUCCGGUUGAUACUUUACCGUAUAGACCCACCGACUUCAUAUCAGAGAGAUAUUCGGUGGAUGAGGCACCAAGUCCCACGUAUGGUUCUCGUGUAGGGCGCGUAAUUCCUUAUCCAUUGCAGCUCGUCAUCAUGGAUCCUAAAUAGCUUGUGCAAAUGUCGUAGGAAUUUCCACCGGGUCUACAUAAUAUGUGAAAAAGUCCUGAAGGUGGCAGCAAAGCUGACCAAACGUCGGACGUGGUAACCUGUAAUUGCUCUGGUGAUGGUAGAGGAGAUACAUGAGGAGUGCAUUUGGUAGCUGCGGUGAUGGCGGAUGAUCAGGGUUCAUCCCAAGGUCCACGUCCACGUGGUCAUCAAGAGGAGGGUCCUCCAAAAAUAAAUCAAGAGAUGGUGCAGGUCCAGCGACAGUAGGUGAUUGCUCUGCAUAAUAGUAGUUAUUCUCCAAGAAGAAAACAUGAUAAGAAAGUCACAUCCAUCGAAAAUGAGGAUCAUAACACAUAUACCCUUUAUGAACAUCACUAUAACCAAGAAACACACUGUGCAGUUUUAGUAGUCAACUUAGUUCGUUCACAUACAGGAAGAAGCACAUAACAAAUAUAGCUGAAUACCUGGAGACGGUCAUAAGACGACGCACGACGAUAUAAGGCCUGAUAUGGACAGGUAGUCUGCAAGACAUGAGUAACCUAUCGGUAAAUUAAGUAGAUAACCGUGUGACAUGGUAUUACUGCCCGAGUGAGACCAAGAACAUGACUAUGUUUGCAUUCGACAACUCCAUCUUAUUGAGAGAUACCCGGACACGACAUUUGAGAGAGAAUACCAUGCUCCCUAUCAAACUGGUGUAAGGCGGUAGAGUUGAAUUUGCCACCAGGAUCAGAUCGAAUUGUUUUAACGGCGGUAUGAAAUUGAGUCUGAACUAUCUGAAUAAACUCUUGAGUAGCAUUAAGAAACUCUGAUUGAAACCGCAGAAAAUAAAUCCAUGUAUACCGAGUAGCAUGAUCAAUGAAGAGUGCAAAGUACUGGUAACCCAAACGUGAAACAACUAGUGCAUGCCCUUAUAAAUAAGUAUGAACAAGAUCAAAAGGUGUUGAAAUAUCAUUCGUACUGCUAGUAAAGGUCUGUUAACUGUCUUGGCCUCAAUACAACUAGUACAAGAUGGAAUAAGCUGAUCAUUUAACUUAAUACUAAAAGUUAAUAAAUUUUCUUGAAACAUAGUAGUAAGGCAUUCAGAAUGGGGAUGUCCCAAACGUGAAUACCAUAAUCUCCAUGCUGCAAAUCCUGGACGAGUGCCAUUAGUCGGCAGAGGGGAAGACUCUGAAACGGGAUUAAGUUGCUAGAGACAAAAUGUGCACCCUUGUUUACUCCCCUUCCCGACCUCCUUAUGGGUUCGUAGAUCCUACACAGAACAACCAGAGGAUUUGAAUGUGACACGAUAUCCAUUAUUGAUAAGCUGACCAACAGAGAGUAAAUUAGGAGUGAAUUGGGGCACAUGGAGAACGUUGUCGAGACAAAGUGAGGGUGUGGAGAUAGAUCCAUAACCAGCAACAGGUAUAGUAUCAUCAUUAGCCACACGGGCAUUAUGACUUUAUAUAGGGAAGUAGGUGCUAAAAAGAGAUUUAUCUCCUAUCAUGUGAUUGUAAGCAACAGUAGUAGCAAAUGCUGAAUGUAUUCUAGAAGAAAGCAAUAUAGGAAGUGCUUGUUGUACAAGGGCUUCGAUGGAAGUAGCCGAGAGUGGAUCAGGGGUCUCAGUCGAGUGAACAGAAGCAGCAACAGUAGUAUAGGCGUUAAGACCUGCUUAGUUCAAUGAUUUGGCAGCUCGAUUUUUCAGAAUCGGACAGUCCAGUAUAAUGUGAUCGUGAGUUUUGCAAAAAUUCCUCUUGUGGUAGUGCAAUGUAUUGUGCCCUUUGAUACUGCAGUGAUGACAAAAAGCAUCCACAGAUGAAGUCGAGGCAGCAACCAUAGAGGAUGAUUUAUGGUUUGAGUUAUAAGUUGGUGCCGCCGCAAAAAACGCGAAUGAGGGUGAGCUAGGAGGAUCAAUCUGAGCUUGCGUUUUAAAACACGUUUCAACACGAAUCUAUUCACCCAAGACCUGUUCCAAGUCAGUAGUAUUGUUGCUAACCAUUAUAGACCAGACAUGUUCAAACUCGAGUUGAAGCCGCAUAAGAAAGUGGAGGACUCGACUGUGGUGUCGUUCCUUAGUGAGAGAUGCACUUGUAACAUAAUCAUGAAUGGAAAUAGCCAUAAGAUCUUGUUCCGCCUAGAGUUGACUCGCUGUGAGAUAAUACCUAUGAAUGUCGAGGUCGCCUUGACACAGUUUAGCAAGCUCGUACUCAACUUCAAGUGCUUCCAGAUCAUUGAGGCUGAUGUAAAACAUCAGAGAGAAAGCAUGAUUGGGGCCGUAACCGAGCCAAGAAUCCAAUAGACCACCUUGGCGUUGUUGUUUUCUCAAGUAAGAGCAGCCUUUUCAUGAGAUUUGGUCGUUGUCGCCGUCACGGGAACAGCCUCUGAAUCAGUAGUAAUCGACGUAGCAGAAGGAGGAGUAGGAGCGGCCGUAUCUCCAUUAAGAUACCCGAGAAACCCAUUUGCUUGAACGUGGAGACGAAAUUGAUGUUCCCAAAAAGCGUAAUUUUUUUCCAACGAAGCGAGUAGUAACAUAAUCAUCUUUGAAAGUCCAUCGAAGGCUCUGAUACCAUGAAUAGCUAUGAGAAAUUGAGAGAAGAGGAUGAUCAAAGAUAGGACAAAAGCCAAUUAUAUUGCUUAAGGAGUUUGAUUACAAUUCAAGGAUUAUGUAUAGGUUAGGAAGACUUAACCUAAACCCUAUAAUAUAGGAAUCAAUAAAUAUAUUGACAAAAUAUAUAUUCCCAUUUUAAUAAGUGUAAACUCAAAAACGAGGAUACAUGGGGCAGGGGUCGUCAUUAAAAGCAUAACAUGACCCUUUUCCUUACUCUCCUGACAAAUUAAUACCAAAAUCAGCUAACCUAGACACUUGACAUAACCCAAAAUUCAAACAAAAACAACUAGUAAUCAUCCGAAAAGAAAAGCAACAAAAUCAAAUCAAAAUCCGAACAUGCCUAGUCUAUUUAGAGGAAGAAAAAAAGAGUGCGUAGAGGAAACUAUGGUCGUCUGCCGUUGUCUAUUCAAGGUGACCCGCCUCCGUAGUGCCGUUCUGAUGCCAUAGCUAUGCUUUUUGCAGAAUUUUGAUGGUUUGUGACCGAAGUUUUAAUCCAAGGACAUGUCUAUAACCUGCCGUUCCACCAUCGUCGUAGUCAUUGAAGCCAUCGCCAGAUCUGGAUCCAUUGUGCAAAGGAGCGAUGACAUAGAGGUUGUUUGCCGCAGGGGAUCCGACCUAAUAGUGAAAUCGAGCAAAGAGGAUGUUUCGCUACGGAAAUCCGAGCUGGUGAGGAUGCCCCUUAAAAGUACGAUCUGAUGAUGAUGUUCGCGGAGUAUGAGCUGGUGGUGAAAUGGAUGAUAGAUGGGUGGCGGCGGGUUGGAUAGAUGAUGGGAGGCGGGUUGGACAGUUGAUUUGUAGGAGCGACGAGUUUGAACGGGUGAUAGGUGGGGGGGGGGGGGGGGGGGUNNNNNNNNNNNNNNNNNNNNGGGGGGGGGGGUGAGUUGGACGGAUGAUAGUAGGGGGGUUGGAUGGAUGAUAGAAGCGGCAAGUUGAAUGGAUGGAGGUGGUGAUUUGAUGAAACACUUAAAAAUUAGGGAGAGACUAAAACCCUUAAAGGUUAGGGAUUACACAAAAGAACUUCUACACAACUUUUUGUGUUUGUUGUAAUGCUUUGUUAAGUUUUGUUAUAAAUAAAUCUGUUACGAAGUCAUGUAACCAGUUAUUAAGUCAUGAAAUAGGUUAUAGACAGUUAGAACCUGUUACUCGUGUAACUUGUUACUGGUGACCAUAACCUAUUACCAACCCGUGUAACAAGUUACUAAAUUGUACAACUGGUUCACCAGUUACUUGUGUAACUUGUUAUAGCAAUUAUAACAUGUUACCAAGCCGUGUAAUAGGUUACUCAUGAUUAUAACAUGUUACUCGUGUAGCCUGUUAAAACAAUUAUAACCUAUUAAAAGUCUCGCCGAAAAAUUCACCGGAAAGUGGACGGAAGAUCGCGGAAAAAUUCAUUAGAGACUUUCCGGAAAAUUCAUUGGACAGUCGCCGGAGACUCACCGGCAGUGAGAAGGUGACAUGAACUUUUUUGAAAUAAAUACAAUUAAAAUAAUUAUUCGUAAAAGAGUUGGAAAAUAUGAAUUUUUCCUUACGUCUCUUUAGAUUCUCAGAAAUUUAAAAUUUCAUCCAAUGACUCAUAUUCUACUUAAAGUGCUUGACAAGAUGAAGUGUUUGAAAAAAGGGUUUCACAUUUUUUUUUAUAAUUUCAAUGAUAUAUUAUUUUAAGAAAAUGUGUAUUCAUAUUAUUAAAUUUAAUUAUUAAUGGCAAAAUAGGUAUCGUUCAAUUAANNNNNNNNNNNNNACAAGCCAAUAAAAAAAAAGAUGUGUCUCCCUAAUAAUGGGUAGACUCAAGAAACUUCGAUUGCCUAACUAACACAUGGGAAAUUUUGUUUUGCUCCCUCCUCACAAACUUAACCAAGAAAAAAGUUUAGACAACAAAAUAUCCUUUCCAACAUCCCCGAACUCAUACUAGUCCGUUGGUGUUUUACCGUGAUAUUAGAAAUAGAAAUUUUGGUCUUAAAUUUCUAAAUUACCCUUAAGGAAGUUCAAUAGAAAUUGUCUAGUAAAAAAUUAUUAUUAUUUUCUGUUUGGAUUAUGAUUAUGUUGAUGGAUAGGAUUAUUAUUAUUAGUCUGUGUUUAAAUUAGCUUAUAAAUUACUUGUUAGUUAUAGUAAAUUAGUAGCAAGUAUGAUUGGUUAAUUCACCCAUACUUAAAUUUUUUUAUUAAGAUAAAACAGCUAUAAAAUUUGUCCGUAAACCUACUGAACCGAGAUGAUUCAUAAAAUGAGGUAUGGCAAAUUAGCUAAGUGUUUAGGUUGACGGCUAGGAGGUCCCUAGUUCGAUCAUCCUCUUAUAUAUAUAUAUUUAUUUAUUUUCUUUUCCCUGAAAUUUGUAUGACGUCAUCAUAUCAUUCCCAUAAUUUCCUUUUUUCCAGUUCUACGCGUUUCCUCCAAACCUUCCACCCUGAGAUUUCCGACGACAAUCACAAGAUUUCCUGUUUUUUAUUCAACACGAUCUCACCCAUUCUACUUAGUAUAUAGAUUGGAAGAUUAACCCUCAUCAAUUCCCUUAACACCCGACCUCCAAUCUCCCCAUAAAUGAUUCAAGGUUGAGCUGUUGAAAUCCUCGAAGGCGUUUUGAUUACCAACAACGAACGAGGUGAUUCUCGAUGACGGAAAAUCCGAGACUCCCACCCUAACCGUAGGAAUGGCGGAAUCAGGAUGUAUAUCACUGAGCCGGAUUUGAAUCGGAAAUUUAUAAGUCUAUCGAGUAAUUAAUUGAUGAAUUAAUCUUAAUAUUAUUUUUUUAAAAAACAAAUUCAUUGUACGGUUUUUAGUUGAAAAUCUAAUAUAUGUGCCACUGACGAGUUUUUUAUCUUAUAUUUGAAUAUUUUGAACUAAAUAUAUGAUUUUUACUUAUUCUAAACAAAUAAGUAGAAAAGCAAAACUUCAAAUACUAUUAGCCGAGUUAUGAAAUCAUCAAAAUUUUACAUAUAAUUUAGUGCUCGAGACAAAAAAACAAGAUAGUCGAGACUCUCACUGGGUCCAUCUAGUUUCGACACGAUCAAGCACUGAUUCAUGCUCAAAAUUGCCUUGAACCAUCCUCGUAAAAUUUACAAUUAUAUACCCAAAAUUAAUAGUUCAUACCGAAACUGGGAUGAGCUGGGACUCCCCCGGGCCACCCCUAGUUCCGCCAGUCAAUGAAGCUAGCCUGGUUCUCAAUGGAGCCAAAGCAGAGGGUUGCGUGAGGUAUUUAAUUUCACGAGGUCGAUAGGUCCUCAAUCGGUGAAGCUUCCCCCAACCAAAUUCUGGUGACUCAAAGCUAACUCUCGAUCAUAGCAAGACGACGACGUGUUCGCCCUGCAGUUCCCACUCCUAAGACGAGUGCCAUCGUUACCUCAAUUUUGAAUUAAGGUUCAUAAAGACAAUCAUGUUUCCAACUUCACUUUGCUUUCUCGUGUUGGAUCCUCCUUGUUUAAAUUAAUAAGAGGGUACAUUUUUUAUGUUGUUGUAGUUAGGUUAUGCUUUAUUCAUUUGAUUGAUUUACAUGAUUUUAUGAUUAUGUAUUUGCAUUAUGUUUAUGUUCAUUUCUUUUAUGUGUAGAAUGAUGUGUCUUCAGAUUAUGAUAAGGCUAGGCUAAUAUAUUAAGGCUAGACUAACGAUAACGUUUGACCAUUAAGGUUAGUAUUAUGACAAGGAUAGAUGACAAGUGAGUAGUGAAUAAAUAACCAUACCUAGAUGAUUAAUGUGAAACCCGCCCUAUACGACAUGGCCGAACCGCACGGUUCGACCCAUACAUUACUCACUGGUUCACUCAACACAUAAUUAGACAUAAACAUACACAUUAACUAAAUUCUAAAAAUGUUUCAUAACAUAAGUAUACAAAAACCGAGCAUCCAUAGCUCGAAACCAAUACUAACAACGUAAAACAACCCAAACAAGGGAACUUAACAAUAACCAGAGAUCAGUCUACUAAAAUUACUGAAAAAUCUGAAAAUCUAGAAACAUGAAAACAUCUUAAAAACAUGUAAGGGAUAAUGAGGUCCUCCAAGGUACCUCUCUUUACAACUCUCAUAUUCACUCAGUCGAUGUGUCAUUGCUCGUGUAGCUCUCUUAGGCGGCAUUUGCUCCUAAAGUCCCAAAGUUUAUGAUACCAAGUAAAAUAGAGAUGGGGUCAGUGACAAGCACUAAGUGACUAGGCCAAACAUUCUCUAAAUCAUAACACAUCACGAACCUGUAUAGUAGAUGACACGGUAUUGCACAGUCCUGUGAACCUAAAUUUGGAUUCCUAACAACCUAAAUACAAUUCAACGCUUAAAACAGAAAAGCAUUCUCUAAACCCCCACCUCUGAAAGCUUUCCCGGUAGAGUCUGAUUCGAAGCAGUCUGCCUGGAGAUCAAUCUCUUGUUUUGUAUGACCUAUAGAGAUCAAUUGUAGGAUUAAAAUCUCAAAACUUAAAAUCUUAACGUGUUAGGAUUUUCCUACGUAGGAUUCAAAGCAAGGGAUUGAGAAUGGAGGAAGAGGAUAGAUUUCCUUCUGAAGCUUCCUUAAUGAUCUUAAAGCCCCAACUAUUGAUCUGGGAUCGAUCGACUUUACCUUCUUUUCCUCCAAAAAUCGGUCGCCAUUUGUCAGAGAGAAAUUUCAAAUAGGUUUCUAUAAAUUUUGAGUUGCAAGUGUUACUCUAUUUUUAUAAAAAGUCCACCAUGCCCGUGGCAGACUUACCACCACGCAUGUGGGAACCUGGUAACCAUGCCCAUGACCUACUGAUGGGCAUGGUCGUGACUGACUUCUGACCACGGUCGUGGUCUACCUAUCAACCACUCUCGUGAUAGACUGACGGUCAUGCCCGUGACUGUCCAUUAAUCAAUGAAUUCUCCAGAACUCAUAGAACAUUGGCUUAAAGCUAGAAUCAAACAACAACCCGAAAUCAGAGUGUCACAACUCUCCCCUUCUAAAAAUGGUUUCGUCAUGAAACCUGAAUGUGAAAACUUAACACAUGAAAAGAAAUUACCUACUAGGGAAUCCUCCACGAGCUCCGGGUAGUGUUCCUGCAUGCUAGCUUUGGUCUCCCAUGUCAUAGCCUCGACAUCCUAAUUUCGCCAAAUCACCUUCAGCAUAGGCCUUUCCUUGCUCCUCCACUUGUAGACCAUCCUAUCCACAAUCCGAGUUGGUUUCUCUAGAAAGGUCAAAUCCCUCUCCAACUGAAUUCAUCUGGCUGGAUUACCUGAUUCGGCCUACCAAUGUAAGCCCAAAGCAUGCUCACAUGGAAUACAUUAUGCAUCUCAUCAAACUUGACAAGUAAAGCCAACUCGUAAGCCACUUUUUCUAUCCUCCGAAUGAUAUCAAAGAGACCAAUGAAUCAGGGAGCCAACUUCCCCUUCCUGCCAAAACAAAUCACUCCCUUCCAUGGAGAUACCAGAAGAAAGACCUUAUCCCCUUCCUUGAAGCUAACUUUCCUAGUCUUCUUGUCUGCCUACUGCUUCUAUCAAUUCUGAGCUACACCCAGCUAUGCUCGAAUUACUCUAAGUCACGAGGCCGUUUCUUGAACAAUCUAAGGUUCAGUCAACACUUUCUCUCCCUCCCCAUCCUAGAAGAGAGGGGUACUGCAUUUCCUACCAUACAAACCCUCGAAUGGAGCUACCCUGAUGUUGUGAUGGUAGGUGUUAUUAUAACUCCACCAUCUACAAAACCUUUAACCAAGGUUCAUCAAGUAUUUGAUACUCUUGUGAUCAGUCUUGAUCCUAAAAGUCUAACCAUACAAGUAGUGUCUCCACAGUUUCAAUGCGUAGACCACCGCUGCCAGCUCCAAGUCAUGAACUGGGUAAUUCACUUCAUGCACCUUCAAAUGGCAAGAUGUCUAUGCCACUACUCUGCCAUCCUGCAUCAGGAUGCAGCCUAACCCCAUAUAUGAUGCAUCACUAUAAAUAACAUACUCACCCUCGCAACCCCGGUAACGUAAGUACUAAUGCUGUGGUGAGUCUCUUUUUCAGCUCCAUACAAACCGCAUGUCCUUCAUGGUUAGCUUGUGGAGUGGCCCUACUAUCUUUGAGAACCCCUCCACAAACUUCCUGUAGUACCCUGCCAUGCCGAGAAAAUUCCUCACCUCGGUCACGCUCCUCGUGGUGUCCAAUUCACGAUCGCUUCCACCUUCUUCGAAUCCAUCUUGAUGCCCCGUUCACUAAUUAGAUGUCCCUGAAACAACACUUGAAUCAUCAAAAACUCACACUUAGAUAAUUUGGCAUACAAUCGCUCCCUCCUCAAGGUAGCCAAAACUUUUCUUAAGUGCUUUGCAUGCUCCUGCUCCAUCUUGGAGUAGGCCAAGAUGUCAUCAAUUAAUACUAUGAAAAACUUGUUUAUAUAUCCAUGAAACACAUUGUUCAUCAUUUCCAUGAAGGUGACAUGGGCAUUGCUCAACCCGAAUGACAUUAUUAAAAACUUAUAGUGACCAUACCUUGUUCGAAACACCAUAUUAGGUACCACUUCGUCCACUUCCUUCAACUGAUGAUACCCUAUCCUCAAAUCAAUAUUAGAGAAAACUGGGUCACCUUGAAGCUGAUCAAAUAGGUCAUCAAUACAAGGCAGAAGAUAUCUGUUCUUGAUAGUUACAUGUUCAGCCUCCUGUAGUAUAUACACAUCCGUAUAGAUCCAUCCUUCUUCUUCACGAACAACACCAACGUACCCGAAGGUGACACACUAGGGCGGAUGAAACCCUUCUCUAACAGCUCCAGCAACUCCUCCUUAAGCUCCUUCAACUCAAUCGGCACCAUGUGGUAGGGUGCUAUCGAUAUAGGUGUUGUGCCCGACACCAGCUCUAUAUCAAAAGGCACCUAUCGCUCAAAAGGUACCUCCAACAUGUCAUCUCGAGAAACAUUAGGGAACUCCUAAACUACUAGUAUAUCCUCAUUAUGUCCUCCUACAUCCAGGAGAAUAUGUGCUAUGAAAGCCUCACAUUCACCUCUAAUCAGCCUUUUCGCCUUCAAGCCAUAAAUGAAAGGAGGCCCGUGGUGGAUAUUUCUCUGAGUCCCCAUGAUGACUACUCCCUCCUUUUCAGGUGUAGAAAACCUAAUUUUCUUCUUCUUACAAUCCACCAUGGCUCCAUGGUGCUCCAGCCAGUCUAUCUCCAAAAUCACGUCAAACUCAUCAAAAGGAAAAACGAUGAGGUUCACCAUAAAGUCCCUAUCCUCAAAGACCAUGACUGCUCUUCCUCUAACUAAGACUCCACCAGUAGAGUCUUUCCUACUAGGUACUAAUCAUAAACGAUCUACUCAUCCUAGUAGGUAUAAAGGGAAAAAGACGAGUAACAAUAGUAGAGAUGAAAGAGUGUGAAGCACCCUGCAUGAAAGAAUCUUCCAAGAAUGACAAUCGUACCCGUGAUGGUAUCCGGGGAGACCUCUUCCUCAACUAUGGUGGGAUACACCAUGCUCUGUGCCUCUGGGAUUCUCCCUUACGACGUCCCCAGUCCAAAGGAAACUGCAUUAGUGCCCGUGAACAGAUCCUUAAAGCCUCGUCUCAUCCUAUUGCCAGACGAAGCCCUUCCCUAUUGUACUAUCGCCUCCAACAUUACGGGCUUACUCAACCCGGUGCACUCUUGAGCAAAAUGGACCUGCUGCCCACACCAAAAGCAAGCUCCUGCUCUCUUCAUACAUGCUCCCUAGUGUCGUAUCCCACACUCGGGACAAGAUGGAUGGUCAACCCUAUAGUGGACUGCUUCUCCUGGUCUACUGGGAUUAUAGGCAGAGAAACGAGCCUAAGAUGUAGGAUUACCACAAUAUGUAUCUUUCCUCCUUUGAGGUGCUCGUGGCAACUGCGACCCGCCUAAAGCCACAUUCCUUUUCUUCUCCUCAUGCCACGCCUCACGCUCCCCCUUCCUCACACUCUUAAGGUGCUCAGCCCUCAAAAUUGCCGCCUUGAUAUAUGCUAGGGUACCUGUAUCACUACUGGUGACCCCAAACUGAAUAUGAGCUCUCAGCCCAUCUAGAAACACCUGCUUUAUAUCCUUCUUCUUCUGCUUAGGGGAGCCGUUGUACCACCUGUUCAACCUGGUGAAGCGUUGAGGAAGUCAACCACCUUCAUGUCCCCCCUGCCUAAGGUUGAUGAACUCAGCCCUCUUGUUCUUCUUCCACUACUCUGGCAUGAACUCUUUCUUGAAAAAACCUAGGAAUUCCUCCCAAUCCUGUCCAAACAGAUCGUCCUCGACCUCCAGCUAGUUACUCCAUAGCUCUUUUGCUAUACCUCUUAGUAGGUAAGCAGCAUACAACGACCUCUUCUCUAGCACAGGCUAUAGAUACCUGAACGCAUUCAUCAACUCUCUCAGCCAAUCUACUACUAAUUGCUGCUCCGUAGACUUCCCAUCAAAAGUAAUGGCACCCACACAAGUUAGCUCCUUGAAAGCCAGUCGAGGCACAUGUGGACCACUUAAAACUCAUCUCAGCUUUUUAUGGGAAACGUGAAAACUUUUCAAAACAUUGAACACGCUCAUAGGGUGCAUACUGCCAUGCCCAUGGGGUACAUAAUGCCACGCCCAUGGUGUACCAUUGGUCGCGCCCUUGGCUUACAUCUUGCCAUGCCCAUGACUGGCAUUACCACCCCGUGAUGUACUUAAGAUCACGUAUGUGGUUCGUAUCCCCUAACCGCACUUGGCCUACUGACUAACCACACAUGUGGUUGUCACUAUGUCACUGUUGUUGCCCAUUACUAGCCACGCCUAUGGUGGUCUAUCCACCACGCCUGUGAUGUACUAUCCGCAACGGUCGUGGAUGACUCUCCCAUUUCAUUAUUCAAAGAAACAAUUAAAACUUACAAACGCCUAACACAAAUGAAACAUCUCCCUCGAUUGUUUAGUAAUGAAAUACUAUCAGCACUGCUUGUGUUGAGGUUCAUGACGCCUCGAUACCAGUAAGCAUAGUCAUGUAGUAGAGAACAACAAGGCGUUGAUACCCAUUGUGAAACCCGUCCGUUGAGGAUCCAGCCAAACCACACGGUUUGACCCGUGCAUUACUCACGGGUUCACUAAACACAUAAAUAAACAUAAACAUAUAUAUUAACUGAAUUAUUAAAAUGCGUCACAACAUAAGUAUACAACAAAUUGAGUAUCCAUGGCUUGAAAUCCAAUACUAACUAGGGAACUCAAUAACUAGAGAUAAGCCUACCAAAAUGACUUAAAACAUCCAAAAAUCCAUAACAUGAAAACAUCUAUAAAAAUGAAAGGGAUAAUGUGGUCCUCCAAGAUAUCUCUCUCUAUGACUCCCAGAUCCACUCGGUCGAGGUGUCGCUACUUAUGUACCUCUCUUAGGUGGCAUUUGUUCUUGAAGUCCCAAUGUUGAUCAUAUAAGGAUAAAUAGAGAUAGGGUCAGGGAUAAGCACUAGCUAACUAGGCCCAACUCGCGUAGAACAAUAAUAAGCAUCUUAUAAAGUGACCAUGUAGUCCCAUAGGCAUCAUCCUAGCAUUAGUCACCCCUAAAUUUAGUUGACAAUCUCAUGGUGGAUCAGACCAUGAAAACCACCCUAUAAACCGUAGAUAUCAUGCGAGCAGCACUAGGAGGCAUCCUCGACACGCUCCGUAGAACAUCUUGACGGGUUAUGCAAUCCAAGGGUGGGUGACCAAUGCAUAAUCUAGCUAAACCUGAAUCCUAUCCUAAACAUGAAUUGUAAAUCAUAGUUCAAACGUCAUGAGGUUAUGCUCGAUGUUAAACAACAACCUGUAUAGUAGAUCACACGCUACUGCACAGUCAAAGAGCCCGGUUCUGUUUCACAACCUCUAUAUAGUAUAUCACAUGCUAUUGUACAAUCUUGAAAGCUCCGCUCUGAACCAUAACACAUCAUAGAUUUGUAUAGUAGAUCACAUGCUACUAUACAGUCCUGAGACCCCAACAUAGGAUUCCUGACAACCUAAAUACAAUUCAAUGCUUAAAGCAGUAAAAGCAUUCUCUCAACCCCGACCUCUAGUUCCCGGUAGAGUCUGAUUCGAAGCCGUCUGCCUAGAGCUCAAUCUCAACACUAUAUGACCUGUAGAGAUCAAUUGUAGGAUUGAAACCCCAAAACCCCAAAUCCUAACCUGUCAGGAUUAUCCUACGUAGCAUUCAAAUCAAGAGAUUGAGGAGGGAGGAAGAGGAUAGAUUACCUUCUAAAGCUUCCUCAAUGAUUUGAAAGCCCCCACUCCCGAUCUGGGAUCGAUCGACUUGACAUUCUCUUCCUCCUGAAAUCGAUCAUCAUUUGACAGAUAAAAGUUUCAAAAAGGUGUCUGUAAAUUUUGAGUUGCACGUCGCGACUCUGUUUUUAUAAAUAGUCCAACACGCCCGUGGCCACCUCGCAACCACGCCCGUGACCUACUGACGGUCAUGAUCGUGAUCGCCUAGGGGUCAUGCUCGCGACUGAAAUCUGACCAUGGUUGUGGUCUACCUAUCAACCACGCCCGUGCCAAAUGAACAGUCACGCCUGUGACUGUCCAUUCAUCAGCGAUUCUCCAAAACUCAUAGAACACCUGUUUAAAGUUAGAAUCAAACAACAACCAAAAAUCGGGGUGUCACAAUUAAUAGGUGGACUAAAAGGAUGAACUCAUUUCCUAGACAAUCACCCACAUGAUUGGGCUAGUUUUGCUCGCACGAUAUGUUGUAUGAGGAUACGUUCUCCCAGACAUCCACAGUUUUCAUGAUAUGUUGUUUGAGGAUACGUUCUCCCAAACAUCAACGAUUUGGGUGGUAGGGCUAGUUAGCUGAGUUGGGGGCGGCUACAAGAAUUAAGAUACCCUAUAUAAGGUUUAGAACAAGUACAAGAAUUAAUGUCAUGUAAUUGACCUUCACAAACAUGAUGAUUAGGGUAUAACAAGUUACAAGAACCAUGAUACUCACGAUCUCGUAAUACACCUAAUAUGAUUGGCUUGAGUUCCAUUUUUAUGAUGAUGAUUAAUUACUUGUUAUGAUUAAGGUGAUGUGUGUUAGGAUUGCAUAAAUAUGAUUUCUUUAUGUAAUAUGUAUAUUAUAAAUAUUGAUGAUUGUUAUGAAUUAACAUAAUUUUCACUAUUUAUUAUGGAAUUCUGAUUUAUGAUUUGAGCACGAAAGACUGGCCCCGAACCACCCACCAGGGUGCUUGAAAGUUAAUGCAGGAGCAGAGUGUAGCUGAUUCGAGCGAUAUCGCAACGUGGACUUCAAUUUUCAAAAGAGCAUUUACGUUUCCUUUCGAAAAAGAGUAUUUAUGUUUAAUUUAUUGAGACUUUAUUUUCAAUGCGAUUUUGUAGAGGCUUGUUAGUAAUUAAAAUUUUAUUUUAUUUAUUCUAUUUAUUUUUUAUUUACUCUUAUUUUUUAUUUUUUAAAAUUCCUUGAUCGGUGCAUUUUGAUCAUUUAAUAAUUCUGUAAAAAUGAGGGUGUUGCAUUUUGGUAUCAAAGCUGGUCUUCCUCUGUCUCGUUGGGAAACAGAGGAGUGACUAAGAGUCGGUCAUGUUUUAAGAAGUCAAAAUCGUUUUGAAAUUAAGUCUUAGUUUUGAAAAUGAUUUAUGUAUUUGAGCAGGUCUAAAAUCCACUCCACCAAAUCGGGUCACUCUACAGAAAGGUAUUAGCAUGUGAUUAUGGUUAGAAAUAUUAGCGAAAUUCCUGCCUCAAUUUCGAAGACGAAAUUUCUUUGAAGUGUGUAGGAAAUGUUAAACUCUCAUCUUAGGGAUCGAAAUUUUGGUCUUAAAAUUUCAAAUUACCCCUUAACGAAGACCAAGAAAAAUUGUCUAAUAAGAAAUAAUUAUUACAUUGUAUUUGAAUUAUGAUUAUGUUCAUGAAUACGAUUAUUAUUAUUAAUCUGUGUUUAAAUUAGCUUAUAAAUUACUCAGUCAGUUAUAGUAAACUAUUAAUAAGUAUNNNNNNNNNNNNNNNNNNNNNNNNNNNNNNNNNNNNNNNNNNNNNNNNNNNNNNNNNNACAACUGUUGAAUUAGUCCUUAUACCUAUUGAACCAAAAGAUUCAUAAAAUGAGUUAUGGUGGAUUGAUUAAGUGUUCAAGUGGACGAUUAGGAGGUCUAUAGUUCGAUGCUCCCCUAAAAGUUGGAUGACGUCAUCAAUGGCAUCAUCAUCUCCUUCUCAUAAUUUUCAUUUUUCCAGUUUACCCUAAUUUUAGAGGUANUUAUUAUUAAUAUUUUAUAUUUAAUCAUCAUUUAAUUUAUUUAUUUAUUAUAAUCAAAUUAAAAAUUAUUUGAACUGUCGAGCUUAUUAGUACGUAAUAGAUUAAAUUAGAUAAAAUUAGAUAAAUCAGCUCUAGCCAGCGGUUAGAUCUUCAGAUUCGUUAAAUGAGCAGGGAUGAGUCAAACCAUUAUUUUAUUAGUUGGUAGCUUGGACGAGCCUAGACAAUUAGAUAGAUCUUACGGUAGGAAGUGAGGCCGGAUCAUUUCAAGAAAAAGGAAUGGGUCCUGAGGUCAAUUGAAAUUCUGGAGACGAGAAUUGGUUUGAGCCAUUAGAUACAUCCAGCGGUGGUUUGGGCCUGAGUUAUCAAUCAACAGAUGAGAGCCCAAUUAUUGGAUUUAAAUUCCUAAACCUAUAGUAUUUGACAGAGGGAGGGAGAUAAGAAAAAGGCGCCGCCUCCGGGUUUCGAUCGUUGGCUUCGAGCUCGUAGACACUAGAGCUUGGGGAUGGAAUCGAUCAGCGAAAAGGCUCAGGGAACGAGAUUCGUGGGAGGUGCCGGAGAUCGAAGGACUGGCCGGGAGUUUUGAGAUCGACCGACGCAGCUGGAGAUAGAGACCAGAUUCGAUGAGUCCGGCGAUCGAUCAAGGAGGCGGAGUGCAACCCAUCGCUUGAACAGAGACAGAUAGAGAGUCAACAGUAUUGCGGUGGAACCGCCGUCGGAAUUAAGGGAGAGAUAGAUGCUACUCUAUGGCGGGAUAGAAUCGGCAACGGUGGGACAAAAGUAAGAGGAGGGGCCUCGAUCGGAUGUUUGUAGAUUGGUGAGAAGGUGUGGAUCCAUCGAAUCAGGUGCAAGGAUGCAAGCUAUGUUCGCCGGAAGAAUUCGAGGGUGGUGACUUGUUAAAGGCCAAUAAAAAACCUGCAAUCUGACGUCUCCAACUUUCAUGGACAAUUGUUAUAUUUAAAUUAUGAAGUUCAAUUCAUUUAUGUUUAUGUAAUUUUUAUGUUUAAAUUAUGAAGUUCAAUUCAUUUAUAUUUAUGUAAUUUACUUUAUUCGUAUGAUGGAUUUAUGUGCCUAGAUGAUUAAGUUAGCUAAAAAAUUAUAUGAUUAGGUAGUUAGUCUAAAAGAAAGAAUUACCCUAAACCUAGACCUUCAGUGGAUAGAAUGUACGGCUUUAAACCACUAGAAAUCCAAAGUUUAGCUAAUUGGGCAACUAGAAAUUCACUAUUAUCAAUUGGACCUUAUGUUAUAAUAGUUUUCGCUGUCUGUUAAAGUAUUUAAGUUUAUUUUUACGUUAUUAUAUUUUAUUUAUUUUUUAAAGUUCCUUGGCCAGAGCAUUUUGGUCAUUUAAUAAUUCCAUAAAGAUGAGGGUGUUAUAGUCGAGUCUCCUGCAUUUAUCGCAUUGACCAUGACUUGGGCAUCCAUCUCCAUUUUGAAUCGUUAAAUCUUUUGGUCAACACACCACUUCAACACAUCCCAUAAUGCCAUAGCUUUGCUUUCCUACACAAUACCCAUCUUAUGUUGUUCGCUAAAAUUGGCCGCAUCUACACUGUACUUCCAUAAAAGAGGCGUUGGCGGAUGCCAUUUCUUACAGCCUCUAUCAUACAUCGCUUGAGGAGCUCUUUGCACUGUCAAUCAGUCUGUACAAUCAUCAGUUGCCCCUUGCACAACAUCUCGUUAUGUUCUCGUCUUGGAAUGCCAUUGCCGGGGACCUCUCUCGUUCCUUCAAAAGGACUUAGUCGGCGCCGAUUUAGGCAUUCCACUCCGUUUUAGUUUUAUUUUCCCGUCUUUUUGUUGUUUGUUUGGGUUUCACUUUGGUGUGUUGUUUUUGGAUGUGCAAGAGUUUGUGUGUGUAAUUUAUGAGACAAUCUAGCCGAAUCCGUGAGCGACGACUUCGGAAUCUGCAAAGCAAUCUCACACCGCCUCAACUCGUGUUCUCUCCUCCACAUCAACCCAUCCUCAACUUAGAGAUUGUGCUACCAGCACCUUCACCACCUCAUUCACCACUCUCAUCGGCCUUCUCAUCACCAAUGGUUUCUUCUCACUACAACUCUUCAAGCGAAGAAGCGGAUUUCGAGGAAGCCAUCAUAAUGGGAGACGCAGCACGCACACUUGGGGAUUAUGUUAAGCCUACACUCGCAGGCACUGGCUCGAGCAUAGUUCCUCCACCGUUUGACAACCGGAAUUUUGAGGUGAAGACCCCAUAUGUCCAGAUGGUAUAGUAGCGACCAUAUUCAGGCAAUGAUCAUGAGUGCCCGAGUCAGCAUCUGAGACACUUCACCAAGAUCAUAGAGCUCAUGAAGUUCAACGGUAUCCAUGCGGAUGUGGUUCCCAUAAGGCUUUUCUCCUUCUUGCUCCAAGGGAAGGCCAAAGCUUGGUUGGACAACCAACCGAUCAACUCAUUCAGGACGAUCAACCAAGCUGUUGAUGGUGAUCUAUAGUCGCUUACUCCAACAAGGUGUUUGCAGCGAUUCAGGGAAAUGGCUGUCAAGACUAAGAGUUGGGCGCGCCAACAAGCCCCGAGGGGCCUACAGGCACCACAUGCGCCACCACAAUCAAACAACCGCCAACAAGCACCGAGGAGCUUACAGGCACCAGUUGCUCCACCAUCAUCAAGCACGCCCCAGCAAACCCUCGACGACAACUCUGACCAAUCUCUACAUCUCCUCCAUUCCAAGGUUGAUGCAUUUUGAUUUCCCCUAAUUUCGGUUAGUGUUCAAAUUUUUAGGUCAAAUUAUGAUUUUUCUGAAAUUGGGUCAAUUGGGUAGAUGCCAUUUGAACAAUGUGUUGUAGGUAAUGCACUUGACUGCUUAGAAGUGAUGUUUAUGCCAUGUUACUUGUGCUUCGCUUGAAAUUAUUUUCAAUAAUGGUUGAAUUUUCGAGUCCGACCCCAAUUUUGAAAUUCUGAAAUUUCAAGAGGUUCAUUUUUUCAGUGUGUUUCAUAUGCCUUGUUGAGGACUUCUUAUGCCUAUGUCAUGCCCGAUUGCUCCCCUUUGUGUUGCUAUGGUUGUUGUUCUUGGCUAUUGUUCUUACACUAGGUGCACUUAUAUUCCAUUGCUCAUUAUAUUAUAUAUCUUGCGUUGUAGAUUGUGUUACUAGUGUUGAAUGUUAUGGUCGCAUAUUGUCUGUUUUGGUCGCCUAUUGUGUGAUAAUUGAAGUUGAAGUUCGUGGAUACUCAUUGUGCUUACCUUUGUGCUAUGCCCUGUGCCUUGCAUUGUUUUUUCAUUUCACGAUGACGUGACCACUUUAAGUGUGGGGGGGGUAUAUUCUCAUAUUUGGGGAUGUUGGGAUAUUAAUCGAGAAGCAAUUUUGUGCGACUUUUGUUUGUUAAUGACAGUGGUGCAGGAUGCAUAGAAAGAAGACUCCUGCCAUAGGCCUAGGGAAAGUUAUCGGCACUGCGAAAAGGCCACGACCAUCCCCUUCCACAGAGCCUUCGUCUGCUGGGACUAGUCCACCAUCAUCUCCACCACGGUCUUCUGUUUCCAACCGUCCACAGCGGGGUGGAGCAUCAUCUUCGGCUAACCCUCGCCCUUCACGGGGGACUUCUCGGCGAGAGACGCCAUCAGACCCUAUUCCAACUGCUACUACUGCUCUACCAAGUUCAGAGGUGGAGUAGACGAUCUUUGACUUUGAGCCAGGAAGUGAGUUCGCUCGCCGAUACGGAGUGUAUCAGACUUGGGCGACUGCUCCACAAGGAUAUCUCGACUUCCAGAGUUUCAUGGAGGAAGGGUGGAGCACCUGGCUGAUGGCAUACUGCAAGAGAGCGGGUAUCUGGCCGCUCGUUUGACUUGAUGAUCAGGAGCUUCCGCAUGCCACCAUGGAGCAGGUGGCCAACAUGGAGGUUAUGUCGUUGGCAACCAUUGAUAGGAGGCCGGUUCCGAACCCGAGGAAGUUCUGGAAGGACAUCGCUUGGGACGAUGCUCCCUACUCUGCUCGGUCCUCGAAGGCGAAGUGGAUAAAUAUACCGAGGAUGAGGCUUCUUCACCUGCUCUUUCGUUGGACCAUCACCGCUAGGAAGCAGUCCAGUAACGGAGGAGUAGUGAACAACACAGACUUGUGGCUUUUCUACUGCCUCGAGAUCGAAGUGAAGGUCCAUCUAGGGGACUUGGUCGUAAACUUAUUCAGGCACCUCUCUGAGCAGAAGGGAGUUGGAGUUCUGUUUUGGGGAAGCUACAUCGCACGGCUGGUGCGAAGGCUUGGAGUGAUGGACUCCUUCGAGGAGGAUCCGCUGUUUCAGCGCAGGUUUCCCAUCACAGUUUGGACUCUCAAGGAGCAUGGAGUCCCGAACUUGCGGGCUAAGAUAGUGGACGAAGGGCCAGAUGUCAAAGAGGGGAAAGGAGCAGACUUCCCCCUGAUACUGUGGAGACUCUGGUAGCACAGAUUGGAGGGCUGCAGAUUAACGUCAGUGACGUUCUCGACAGUCAGAUCUUCCUCAGCCAGGAUUUUCAUCGGUUUGACGGUCGUAGUAGAGCUGCUUGGGAUAACCUGGACCAGAGGACCGAGAGGAUUGAGAGCAAGGUGCAAGGACUCCGCCAGGACUUCCAGGAUUAUGUCGCCGAGAGCAGGGACGCGAGGACUCGUCAAAAGCGACGAGACGAGCAGUUUGCUGAGGUUCAGGCUCAGCAAGGCCAGUGGAUCUAGCAGCAGGGACACCAGAUCACUUACAUCCACGAGCAGCAGCAUUUGCAGAGUGGACACAUGUCCUACUACAAGGACAGUUACUUCACGGGAGCUACCUACCCACCUCCGUGGCCAACCUAUCCAACACCACCACAGUGGCCGGAGUACGAUCCUUACCCUCAGUUCCCUGGGUAUCCAUACCCAUCGCCAGAUCAGUGAUCGCUUGGGGCAUAUCAUGACUCGGACUUUUGUGUGUAUCUUUUAAUUUCGAGACUAUGUCAUUUUUCUUUAUUUUUCUUUAUUUUUCUCUUUGGCC
rnacentral:lncRNA from 1 species